rnacentral:rRNA from 1 species
AUUAAACGCUGGCGGCAUGCCUUACACAUGCAAGUCGAACGGCAGCACGGGGGCAACCCUGGUGGCGAGUGGCGGACGGGUGAGUAAUACAUCGGAACGUGCCCUGGAGUGGGGGGAUAACGCAGCGAAAGCUACGCUAAUACCGCAUAUUCUGUGAGCAGGAAAGCAGGGGAUCGCAAGACCUUGCGCUUUGGGAGCGGCCGAUGUCGGAUUAGCUAGUUGGUGGGGUAAAGGCCUACCAAGGCGACGAUCCGUAGCGGGUCUGAGAGGAUGAUCCGCCACACUGGGACUGAGACACGGCCCAGACUCCUACGGGAGGCAGCAGUGGGGAAUUUUGGACAAUGGGCGGAAGCCUGAUCCAGCCAUGCCGCGUGAGUGAAGAAGGCCUUCGGUUGUAAGACUCUUUCGGUCCGGGACGGAAAUACGCACGGGAUAAUACCCUCGUGUGGAGUGACGGUAC